GGAGAGAUGCCGGAGCGGUCGAACGGGGCGGUCUCGAAAACCGUUGUGGGGGGUGACUCCACCCAGGGUUCGAAUCCCUGUCUCUCCGCCA
rnacentral:tRNA from 1 species